UUUAAGGUCUAACCUGCCCAAUGAGGAUUUAAAUGGCCGCAGUAUUUUGACUGUGCAAAGGUAGCAUAAUUAUUAGUUUUUUAAUUGAAAGCUUGUAUGAAGGGUUGGACGAGAUGAAAUCUGUCUUUAUUUAAAUUAAAAUAUAAUUUAACUUUUAAGUAAAAAGGCUUAAAUGUUUAUAAAAGACGAGAAGACCCUAUAGAUCUUUAUUUAAUUAAAAUUUUAAUAAUUUAGGAUUAUUUUAAUUUAAAGUUUUAAUUAAAUUUUAUUGGGGUAAUAUAAAGAUUAAAUAAAUUCUUUUUAUUUAUAACAUUGAUUUAUGAAUAUAUGAUCCAUUAAUAUUGAUUAUAAGAUUAAGUUACCUUAGGGAUAACAGCGUAAUUUUUUUGGAGAGCUCAUAUCGAUAAAAAAGUUUGCGACCUCGAUGUUGGAUUAAAAAUUAGCUUGGGUGCAGAAGCUCAAGAUUUUGGUCUGUUCGACCAUUAAAUUUUUACAUGAUCUGAGUUCAGACCGGCGUGAGCCAGGUCGGUUUCUAUCUUUAUUAAGAUAAAAUGUUUUAGUACGAAAGGACCAAAUAUUUAAUAUAAUUAUAUUUAUUUU
rnacentral:rRNA from 1 species